UACGUAGGGGGCUAGCGUUGUCCGGAAUCAUUGGGCGUAAAGCGCGUGUAGGCGGUCCGGUAAGUCCGCUGUGAAAGUCGGGGGCUCAACCCUCGAAUGCCGGUGGAUACUGUCGGGCUAGAGUGCGGAAGAGGAGAGUGGAAUUCCUGGUGUAGCGGUGAAAUGCGCAGAUAUCAGGAAGAACACCAAUGGCGAAGGCAGCUCUCUGGGACGGUACUGACGCUGAGGAGCGAAAGCGUGGGGAGCGAACAGG
rnacentral:rRNA from 1 species